CUCAUGUGAAACUCCUUCGACGAGUCGAGUUGUUUGGGAAUGCAGCUCAAAAUGGGUGGUAAAUUUCAUCUAAAGCUAAAUACUGGCCAGAGACCGAUAGCGCACAAGUAGAGUGAUCGAAAGAUGAAAAGCACUUUGGAAAGAGAGUUAAACAGCACGUGAAAUUGUUGAAAGGGAAGCGUUUACAAUCAGACUUGCGCGCGGCCGAUCAUCCGGUGUUCUCACCGGUGCACUCGGUCGCGCUCAGGCCAGCAUCAGUCUCGGUGGUUGGAUAAAGGCCGUGGGAACGUGGCUCCUCGGAGUGUUAUAGCCCACGGUGCCAUACAGCCUACCGGGACUGAGGACCGCGCUUCGGCUAGGAUGCUGGCGUAAUGGUUGUCAACGACCCGUCUUGAAACACGGACCAAGGAGUCUAACAUUUGUGCGAGCGUUUGGGUGUUAAACCCGCACGCGUAAUGAAAGUGAACGGAGGUGAGAA
rnacentral:rRNA from 1 species